AAAAGCCAAGCUGAGGCCUCAUCCUUAAUUUUCGCCAUCAGAGUCGUUGGUGAGGUCUCGUGCCUGUUGAAAAUACGUGCAUUCCGUUCUUUCCAAACUUCCCACAUGAUUAAAAGGGUGAGGCUUCUUAGGGCCUUACGUGAUGAGUCCGGUGUUGUGGUGAUAAAAGUCCACCACUCCAGAGCGUUGGAUGAAGGUCGCCAUGCAUUAGGCCGUAGAUUAGGCUGCGCCAGCCAUGUCGCCGUUUGAUCCCAG
rnacentral:lncRNA from 1 species